rfam:Triticum aestivum genome assembly, contig: Triticum_aestivum_CS42_TGACv1_scaffold_374605_5AL
AUUCUACUCCCUCCGUUGCACAAUACAUGCCCUCUAUUUGUCAAAAUAUAUAUGUAUCUAAACAUGCCUUAGUAUAUAGGUACAUCCAUUUUUGGACAAAUGGAAGUCAAGUAUUUUGGAACGGAGGGAGUACACA